rnacentral:snRNA from 1 species
AGCUUUGUGCAGUGGCAGUGUUGUAGCCAAUGAGGUUUAUCCGAGGCACAAUUAUUGCUAACUGAAAACUUUUCUCAAUAUCCCGCCAUGACGACUUGAAAUAUAGCCAGUGGUGGCAAUUUUUGGCUGUCUCUAUGGGGA